rnacentral:rRNA from 1 species
GGUUAAGCGACUAAGCGUACACGGUGGAUGCCCUGGCAGUCAGAGGCGAUGAAGGACGUGCUAAUCUGCGAAAAGCGUCGGUAAGGUGAUAUGAACCGUUAUAGCCGGCGAUGUCCGAAUGGGGAAACCCAGUGCAAUUCGUUGCACUAUCGUUAACUGAAUACAUAGGUUAACGAGGCGAACCGGGGGAACUGAAACAUCUAAGUACCCCGAGGAAAAGAAAUCAACCGAGAUUCCCCCAGUAGCGGCGAGCGAACGGGGAGCAGCCCAGAGUCUGAAUCAGCUUGUGUGUUAGUGGAACGGUCUGGAAAGUCCGACGGUACAGGGUGAUAGUCCCGUACACCAAAAUGCACAGGUUGUGAACUCGAAGAGUAGGGCGGGACACGUGGUAUCCUGUCUGAAUAUGGGGGGACCAUCCUCCAAGGCUAAAUACUCCUGACUGACCGAUAGUGAACCAGUACCGUGAGGGAAAGGCGAAAAGAACCCCGGCGAGGGGAGUGAAAAAGAACCUGAAACCGUGUACGUACAAGCAGUGGGAGCACCUUCGGGUGUGACUGCGUACCUUUUGUAUAAUGGGUCAGCGACUUAUAUUCUGUAGCAAGGUUAACCGUAUAGGGGAGCCGCAGGGAAACCGAGUCUUAACUGGGCGUUAAGUUGCAGGGUAUAGACCCGAAACCCGGUGAUCUAGCCAUGGGCAGGUUGAAGGUUGGGUAACACUAACUGGAGGACCGAACCGACUAAUGUUGAAAAAUUAGCGGAUGACUUGUGGCUGGGGGUGAAAGGCCAAUCAAACCGGGAGAUAGCUGGUUCUCCCCGAAAGCUAUUUAGGUAGCGCCUCGUGAAUUCAUCUUCGGGGGUAGAGCACUGUUUCGGCUAGGGGGUCAUCCCGACUUACCAACCCGAUGCAAACUACGAAUACCGAAGAAUGUUAUCACGGGAGACACACGGCGGGUGCUAACGUCCGUCGUGAAGAGGGAAACAACCCAGACCGCCAGCUAAGGUCCCAAAGUCACAGUUAAGUGGGAAACGAUGUGGGAAGGCACAGACAGCCAGGAUGUUGGCUUAGAAGCAGCCAUCAUUUAAAGAAAGCGUAAUAGCUCACUGGUCGAGUCGGCCUGCGCGGAAGAUGUAACGGGGCUAAACUGUGCACCGAAGCUGCGGCAGCGACACUAUGUGUUGUUGGGUAGGGGAGCGUUCUGUAAGCCUGCGAAGGUGGCCUGUGAGGGUUGCUGGAGGUAUCAGAAGUGCGAAUGCUGACAUAAGUAACGAUAAUGCGGGUGAAAAGCCCGCACGCCGGAAGACCAAGGGUUCCUGUCCAACGUUAAUCGGGGCAGGGUGAGUCGACCCCUAAGGCGAGGCCGAAAGGCGUAGUCGAUGGGAAACAGGUUAAUAUUCCUGUACUUGGUGUUACUGCGAAGGGGGGACGGAGAAGGCUAUGUUAGCCGGGCGACGGUUGUCCCGGUUUAAGCAUGUAGGCGGAGGUUCCAGGUAAAUCCGGUACCUUUUUAACGCUGAGGUGUGAUGACGAGGCACUACGGUGCUGAAGUAACAAAUGCCCUGCUUCCAGGAAAAGCCUCUAAGCAUCAGGUAACAUUGAAUCGUACCCCAAACCGACACAGGUGGUCAGGUAGAGAAUACCAAGGCGCUUGAGAGAACUCGGGUGAAGGAACUAGGCAAAAUGGUGCCGUAACUUCGGGAGAAGGCACGCUGAUAUGUAGGUGAAGCCCCUGCGGGUGGAGCUGAAAUCAGUCGAAGAUACCAGCUGGCUGCAACUGUUUAUUAAAAACACAGCACUGUGCAAACACGAAAGUGGACGUAUACGGUGUGACGCCUGCCCGGUGCCGGAAGGUUAAUUGAUGGGGUUAUCCGUAAGGAGAAGCUCUUGAUCGAAGCCCCGGUAAACGGCGGCCGUAACUAUAACGGUCCUAAGGUAGCGAAAUUCCUUGUCGGGUAAGUUCCGACCUGCACGAAUGGCGUAAUGAUGGCCAGGCUGUCUCCACCCGAGACUCAGUGAAAUUGAACUCGCUGUGAAGAUGCAGUGUACCCGCGGCAAGACGGAAAGACCCCGUGAACCUUUACUAUAGCUUGACACUGAACAUUGAGCCUUGAUGUGUAGGAUAGGUGGGAGGCUUUGAAGCGUGGACGCCAGUCUGCGUGGAGCCAACCUUGAAAUACCACCCUUUAAUGUUUGAUGUUCUAACGUUGGCCCCUUAUCGGGGUUGCGGACAGUGUCUGGUGGGUAGUUUGACUGGGGCGGUCUCCUCCCAAAGAGUAACGGAGGAGCACGAAGGUUAGCUAAUCCUGGUCGGACAUCAGGAGGUUAGUGCAAUGGCAUAAGCUAGCUUGACUGCGAGCGUGACGGCGCGAGCAGGUGCGAAAGCAGGUCAUAGUGAUCCGGUGGUUCUGAAUGGAAGGGCCAUCGCUCAACGGAUAAAAGGUACUCCGGGGAUAACAGGCUGAUACCGCCCAAGAGUUCAUAUCGACGGCGGUGUUUGGCACCUCGAUGUCGGCUCAUCACAUCCUGGGGCUGAAGUAGGUCCCAAGGGUAUGGCUGUUCGCCAUUUAAAGUGGUACGCGAGCUGGGUUUAGAACGUCGUGAGACAGUUCGGUCCCUAUCUGCCGUGGGCGCUGGAGAAUUGAGGGGGGCUGCUCCUAGUACGAGAGGACCGGAGUGGACGCAUCACUGGUGUUCGGGUUGUCAUGCCAAUGGCAUUGCCCGGUAGCUAAAUGCGGAAGAGAUAAGUGCUGAAAGCAUCUAAGCACGAAACUUGCCCCGAGAUGAGUUCUCCCUGACUCCUUGAGAGUCCUGAAGGAACGUUAAAGACGAUGACGUUGAUAGGUCGGGUGUGUAAGCGUAGCGAUACGUUGAGCUAACCGAUACUAAUGAACCGUGAGGCUUAACCUU